rnacentral:rRNA from 1 species
GGUGGUUUGUCGCGUCGUCUGUGAAAUUCCGGGGCUUAACUCCGGGCGUGCAGGCGAUACGGGCAUAACUUGAGUGCUGUAGGGGAGACUGGAAUUCCUGGUGUAGCGGUGAAAUGCGCAGAUAUCAGGAGGAACACCGAUGGCGAAGGCAGGUCUCUGGGCAGUUACUGACGCUGAGGAGCGAAAGCAUGGGUAGCGAACAGGAUUAGAUACCCUGGUAGUCCAUACCGUAAACGGUGGGCGCUAGGUGUGAGGGUCUUUUCACGACUUUCGUGCCGUAGCUAACGCAUUAAGCGCCCCGCCUGGGGAGUACGGCCGCAAGGCUAAAACUCAAAGGAAUUGACGGGGGCCCGCACAAGCGGCGGAGCAUGUGGAUUAAUUCGAUGCAACGCGAAGAACCUUACCUGGGCUUGACAUACACCGGAUCGGGCUAGAGAUAGUCUUUCCCUUUGUGGCUGGUGUACAGGUGGUGCAUGGUUGUCGUCAGCUCGUGUCGUGAGAUGUUGGGUUAAGUCCCGCAACGAGCGCAACCCUUGUCUUAUGUUGCCAGCAUUUGGUUGGGGACUCAUGAGAGACUGCCGGGGUCAACUCGGAGGAAGGUGGGGAUGACGUCAAAUCAUCAUGCCCCUUAUGUCCAGGGCUUCACACAUGCUACAAUGGUCGGUACAACGCGCAGCGACACUGUGAGGUGGAGCGAAUCGCUGAAAGCCGGCCUUAGUUCGGAUUGGGGUCUGCAACUCGACCCCAUGAAGUCGGAGUC